CUUCAGGAGUGCGUCCCUGUCCCUGCUGGGGAGCGAUUACAGGAGUGGCCAGGAGUAGGGCUGGGUGGACAGAGUUGAGUUCCAACCUGUCAACUGGCACAGUGCACUACAUGGACAGGCCACUGGAGUAGCGGAGGACAUCCAGAGGAUCACUCUCCCCAGUAUCAGUCGUCUGAGACCAUUCACCUUUGACACUCUCUUCUACAACAGUCCCACCUACUGCCAGACCACAGUGGACACUGGGGCCUCAGAGGUUAACAAGCUCCACUUACUGUUCAAACACAGACACCCAGAGUUUACUGGAGCAGUGUCUGUGGUUGGACGCCUCAUGGAUUCACCUACAGGUUUGCUGAUCCUGUUUGUCUUGCUGACCAAUCAGAAGACCGGAUCAGGAGAGGCAGACAGAGAUGAGGGGUGUAACCGUGACCACUUCCCUCUGACCUGUGAUGCAUUGGCAUAUGUAAAUACCUAAGUUGAUUUAUAAUUUUAUAUAGGAAUUAUGUAUGUGAAGAUAUAAAAGGAGAGAGUACUAUUCCCGAAUAUGCUGUAUAAAUAGAACACUAGUGUAAAGGAGAUAUAAUAGGUUACAAGAGAUUUAAUGAAGUAACUUGCACAUCCACACGUAGUGGUGUAAAAAGUAUUCUGAGAAAUGUUCAGAGUGGUCCCUUUGUGGAUUAUUUGAUAAAGAUAAGGUUAAAGCAUUGUAUGACUGUCUAAAGGGUCUGGGGGAAAAAGUAUCCAACAAAGAUUGGCGAAUAUCCACUUUUGGUAAAGUUACGGGACUUGACUAAUCCCUAACCAAUAAAACUACAAAUGCUUA